GAUAUUAUAGUUUGGACUGUUCACCAUUAACUUUCUUUAUUAUUCUAAACUUAUUAUGAACAUUAGCUCCUCUUCGACUAUUCAAUAAAUUUUUUUAUGGCGAUUUAAUUAUUAUUUUGUUCUAAUAACAGACACCAUAAAUCAUCAUCAUAUCUCACAAGGAGAGGCAAUAUUUAUAAUGUAUUCCAAAUUUUUUAAUGAGAUUGAGAGUUACUGUAAGAAUAUUAAAAAAUUUCUUUGACAGUUCGAUCUCAUUGAUUCUAGAUUUUGAGAAAUCGAAAAUUUCAUAAAGUAUUGAAUGCUCUGCAUUAGUCGUUGCUAGAAUAAUAAUAAGUGGCUUUUGGCUCAAACUUUUGCUUACGGAUGCAGGCAGAAAUUUUUCAGGGUAGAAUAGUACGCCGAAAUAAAAUUAACUAUUUUUUUUUUUUUGUAUGUUAAUUAUAACUGAAAAAUUCAAUGGGGGAGCGCAGGUGCCCUGUCUUGUCUGUUAAUUCUCUGUUGGAUGACCGCAAUGGAAUCGUGCUGUGCUUUCACCUUGGGAAUCAGGUUCAAUUGCCAUACCUCCAAAUGUAUUUUCUGUGGGGUCCAGGCCGGCUUGUUGAGCCGAUUUCUCCAUUUGAAAGCUGUAGUGAUAACUGGAAUGCGUUGUUGCUUAGAACGCCGGGUAGAAAACGACAUUAAAUAACAGAAAAGAGCUUUGUAUCAAGAUGAUACUAAUUCUUAUUUAAAAUAUUAACAUUGUAAAUCCUGAAAGUUCUGACCAUGUUUCACAGUACAGAUAAUAACUGCAAAUACCAGCAAGUUCCAAACACCACCAAAAGAAAAGAUUAAAUGUCUGUGCCACUUUAAUAGCAGAUGGAAAUACAGCAUAUUUAUUGUACAGUAUGUACAAAAUAAUUUAUUAUUAUACAAAUGACUAAAUUUCUUUUGUUUGGAUAUGGAGUAAUAACUUUAAAUCAAGCACUAUAUUGAC
rnacentral:lncRNA from 1 species